rnacentral:rRNA from 1 species
CUACGGGACGCUCCAGUGAGGAAUAUUGCACAAUGGGGGGAACCCUGAUGCAGCAACGCCGCGUGGAGGAUGACGCAUUUCGGUGUGUAGACUCCUUUUAUAUGUCAAGAAAAUGACGGUAGCAUAUGAAUAAGCACCGGCUAACUCCGUGCCAGCAGCCGCGGUAAUACGGAGGGUGCAAGCGUUACUCGGAAUCACUGGGCGUAAAGGACGCGUAGGCGGGCUUGUAAGUCAGGUGUGAAAUCCUACAGCUUAACUGUAGAACUGCACUUGAAACUACGAGCCUAGAGUAUGGGAGGGGGAGAUGGAAUUAGUGGUGUAGGGGUAAAAUCCGUAGAUAUCACUAGGAAUACCUAAAGCGAAGGCGAUCUCCUGGAACAUAACUGACGCUAAGGCGUGAAAGCGUGGGGAGCAAACAGGAUUAGAUACCCUUGUAGUC